rnacentral:lncRNA from 1 species
UCAUUUACCUAGUGAUCGAAAGGAUUCAAAAUCCAUAAUUUUUAAUGGUUGAUAUCUGCCGUUUUCAAGUUUAACGGUGUAAAAGUAUUCAAAUCAGAUGAAAUUUUGAUACAAAAUUCUUUAUACUAUCUACAACAAGAUCAAUAUUUCUGAUCGAAAAUUUUAGUGCUAUAUCACCACUUUUUAUAGAAUUUUUAUUUUCAGCCGUUAAAAAUUAUUGAUUUUGAAUCCUUUCGAUUGCUAGGUAAAUGAUAUCGAAAAAUCACAAAAAUUAUUUUUUAGAAACUUCAAAUACGCUAGAUCAAGUUUAACGGAAUUGAUCGUCGGUUUGGAAACUCCAUCAUCGAAAACUGCUCAGGAGCACGGAGACCUCCGUGCUCCUGAGAGCACAGCAGCCCUGCUAUAUAUAUAUAUUGUAAGUGUUGAAUAUGAAAUUUGAUAAAUUAACAUUGUAUUUUUAUUUUAUUGUUUA